rnacentral:rRNA from 1 species
AUUGAACGCUGGCGGCAUGCUUUACACAUGCAAGUCGAACGGUAACAGGCCUUCGGGUGCUGACGAGUGGCGAACGGGUGAGUAAUGCAUCGGAACGUACCCAGAGGUGGGGGAUAACGCAGCGAAAGCUGUGCUAAUACCGCAUGUGAUCUGAGGAUGAAAGCGGGGGACCGAGCAGCAAUGUUUGGCCUCGCGCCUUUGGAGCGGCCGAUGUCGGAUUAGCUAGUUGGUGGGGUAAAGGCCUACCAAGGCGACGAUCCGUAGCUGGUCUGAGAGGACGACCAGGCACACUGGGACUGAGACACGGCACAGACUCCUACGGGAGGCAGCAGUGGGGAAUUUUGGACAAUGGGCGAAAGCCUGAUCCAGCAAUGCCGCGUGAGGGAAGAAGGCCUUCGGGUUGUAAACCGCUUUUGGCAGGAACGAAACGGUGUCCGCUAAUACCGGGCGCUAAUGACGGUACCUGCAGAAUAAGCACCGGCUAACUACGUG